rnacentral:tRNA from 2 species
GAUUAAAUGGCUGAAGUUUAGGCAAUAGACUGUAAAUCUAUUUAUAAGAAUUUAUUUCUUUUUAAUCA